rnacentral:rRNA from 1 species
GCUUAACACAUGCAAGUCGAACGCAUCCUUCGGGGUGAGUGGCAGACGGGUGAGUAACGCGUGGGAACGUGCCCUUCAGUUCGGAAUAACCCAGGGAAACUUGGGCUAAUACCGGAUACGUGCGAGAGCAGAAAGAUUUAUCGCUGAAGGAUCGGCCCGCGUCUGAUUAGCUAGUUGGUGGGGUAAUGGCCCACCAAGGCGACGAUCAGUAGCUGGUCUGAGAGGAUGAUCAGCCACAUUGGGACUGAGACACGGCCCAAACUCCUACGGGAGGCAGCAGUGGGGAAUAUUGGACAAUGGGCGCAAGCCUGAUCCAGCCAUGCCGCGUGAGUGAUGAAGGCCUUAGGGUUGUAAAGCUCUUUCGUCCGGGACGAUAAUGACGGUACCGGAAGAAGAAGCCCCGGCUAACUUCGUGCCAGCAGCCGCGGUAAUACGAAGGGGGCUAGCGUUGUUCGGAAUCACUGGGCGUAAAGGGCGCGUAGGCGGCUUUGUAAGUCGGGGGUGAAAGCCUGUGGCUCAACCACAGAAUUGCCUUCGAUACUGCAUGGCUUGAGACCGGAAGAGGUUAGUGGAACUGCGAGUGUAGAGGUGAAAUUCGUAGAUAUUCGCAAGAACACCAGUGGCGAAGGCGGCUGACUG